CCUACGGGGGGCAGCAGUGGGGAAUAUUGCACAAUGGGCGCAAGCCUGAUGCAGCCAUGCCGCGUGUGUGAAGAAGGCCUUCGGGUUGUAAAGCACUUUCAGCGGGGAGGAAGGCGUUAAGGUUAAUAACCUUGGCGAUUGACGUUACCCGCAGAGGAAGCACCGGCUAACUCCGUGCCAGCAGCCGCGGUAAUACGGAGGGUGCAAGCGUUAAUCGGAAUUACUGGGCGUAAAGCGCACGCAGGCGGUCUGUCAAGUCGGAUGUGAAAUCCCCGGGCUCAACCUGGGAACUGCAUUCGAAACUGGCAGGCUAGAGUCUUGUAGAGGGGGGUAGAAUUCCAGGUGUAGCGGUGAAAUGCGUAGAGAUCUGGAGGAAUACCGGUGGCGAAGGCGGCCCCCUGGACAAAGACUGACGCCCAGGUGCGAAAGCGUGGGGAGCAAACAGGAUUAGAUACCCUAGUAGUC
rnacentral:rRNA from 1 species